GUUUCCCAGCAACGCACGUGUGGCGUGCAGGGGUGCCUGACCCCAAGGAGUGGACCAACAAGAAGACUACCACUGUUUCCGUCGCCCUACUAUCUGUGCUCGCAGAGACACCGCCUGUGUUCGCGUGAAAGCAAUGACAUCUCAAGGUCUGUUCAGUGCACGAUUUGAUUACCGCGAUCGUAUUCCCCACUCCGAGCGCCUUGUGGGCCCUGGCUAUGCCACCGAGACGUGAGGGAGAUAACAGAACCCAGUCGCCUGUUGGAAGCUGCUCCUCCAACCCCAACAACAUCGAUAUCUGGUUUGCAUAUUCCUUGGUCACCAUGCUUUUGAUAUACCUUAGAGCCUCCGACAAAGACUUAGGCUAUCAUCAACUUCUCCGACCUGUGCAUAUCCCAGCAGC
rnacentral:rRNA from 1 species